AAAAAAAAACAAUUCAAUUCAAAAAAACUAGAGAAACUUGAAGAUCGGGGAAAGGUGCUGUAAUGGGAAACCAAUAAGUGCAAAGAAAUUGAAACCCAUACAUUAAUUGGAAACCAAUAGCAGUCGGAACUAUAACCGCCGGCAAGAGAUUUCAGAAAAUUAAACAACAAUCAUGCACACAUAAAGACGCGUAUAUAGAUAGAUGCGUACACUUUUAGUUUCGAUUUACAGCAUAAAUAUUUACUGUCAUCACAACAAAUUCAAAGAAAAAUAAAAUUAAACCCAUAAAAGAGAAGAUAACAAAGAAGAGAAAAAAGGACUCACCUUGGUUGGAGAAACAGUGAGCGACGAGAAUCUUAGAAGAGAUCUCACAGGGU
rnacentral:misc_RNA from 1 species